rnacentral:rRNA from 1 species
AUGGAGUUUGACAAAAUGAAACGUGAUCUGCUUCAACAGGAACUUAAGCAAGCUGUUUGCGGACCCAAACUUCACCAAGUUAUCUCUGGUGGAUUCUCGGUUUUCGUUCAGAUGGCCACUGAACUGAUGAACCGUUCCCGUAGCUUGGCCGAAGGAGCUGUGGUCAUGGUAUGCCCAGUGCUUCUAGCAGUAACUCUUGACAAGGUCGACCUCAAAGUGUAUGGGCGCUCUGCUUUCUUCGCCAUGCUUGCCAUGGCAGGUAUCACUUUAAUAAGUGGUAUCUGCCCCUUGCUCGUGUGCUGCUUCUCCAAGAGGUUCCCGAACAUGGGUAACAUCAAGCCUGCCCCGGUGACCACGAUCCUGGUGACCCUUUCAUCUUCUUGCCUCCUCAUCCUCGCCUGCUUCAUCGCGCAGCUCGUUGUCUCCAAACAAGUUCUAAUCGUCGUGGGCGCCUUGUGUGGAGCCUUCGUCUUGGCUCGAACGGUCAUCUACUACAUUGGAGGAGAUGGUAAAACACAUUCACCGGAGCUGCACAAGGCACCCAAUGAAUUGCAUGAGCAUUCAUUGAAGAAGCUGCACAAGGUACUCGAUGAAUCGCAUGAGUUCUUGACGGGUGUGACUGCAAUCCUCUUUCUGGGGCUCGAAGGUUUGGCACUGGAAGGUCAUGAGAAUCAGAUGGUUCAAAAGGCCGGGCCUGUGGGCACCAUCAGCUUCAUAGUGUGCGCUCUUGGCGUGUGCAUGAUGUACCUCGAGAUGAUCCCCCCUUCACGUUUGAAGGAAUUGGGAGGGAUUGUGUGUUUUACUCUGACGCUAGACAGCAUCAUGGCUGGUGGUACCUUCACGGUGUUGAUGGUUGUCAUGUUUAAGUUCAUGGGGCCUCCAUCCCUGGUGCUCUUCGCACCCCCGGUAUUGAUCAUCGUCGAACUUGUGUACCAAGUCACCGUUGAUGGGAGAACGACCCUUCCCAUCAUCCACGCCGACGGAGUUAACCCAGCGUCCACACCGGCUUCAUUGGAAAUGACAAGAGUCACCUUCAUUGGGUUCUUGGUUGUGUCGAUAACAGCCAUCCGCAACCCUUCGCCCAGCAUGUUAACCAGUUGUUUCCUACUAUUUGCGGCAUCGGCUAUUGUGUUUGGUCUCUCAUGGAGGCUCCUGUCACAGACCCAGAUAACGAACCGUCUGGCGCAAAAUCAUGCUUCACCUGACAUUGUUGCUUCCUCUGCCGACCUGGCUUCCUUAUGCACACAUUUCUGCAUUGUAAUCACUAUGAUUCUAUUCCUAGCAAUGGCCGGGACAGCCAGAGGAAAAUGA